rnacentral:tRNA from 1 species
GAGGUUGUAGCUCAAUGGUAGAGUAUUUGUCUUAUAAAUGUGAGGCACUGGGUUCGAUCCUCAGCACCACA